rnacentral:rRNA from 1 species
UUAGGGCACUGGAAGGUCCNUAAACCGAAAGGGGCUCUGCCCGCCCGAGGAUGGGCCGGCGGCCGAUUAGGUAGUUGGUGGGGUAACGGCCCACCAAGCCCAUAAUCGGUACGGGCAGUGAGAGCUGGAGCCCGGAGAUGGACACUGAGACACGGGUCCAGGCCCUACGGGGCGCAGCAGGCGCGAAACCUCCGCAAUGCUCGAAAGAGCGACGGGGGGACCCCAAGUGCCGUGGUACAACCACGGCUUUUCCGGAGUGUAAGAAGCUCCGGGAAUAAGGGCUGGGCAAGGCCGGUGGCAGCCGCCGCGGUAAUACCGGCGGCCCGAGUGGUGGCCACUAUUAUUGGGCCUAAAGCGUCCGUAGCCGGGCUUGUAAGUCCCUGGCGAAAUCCCACGGCUCAACCGUGGGGCUUGCUGGGGAUACUGCAAGCCUUGGGACCGGGAGAGGCCGGGGGUACUCCUGGGGUAGGGGUGAAAUCCUAUAAUCCCAGGAGGACCGCCAGUGGCGAAGGCGCCCGGCUGGAACGGGUCCGACGGUGAGGGACGAAGGCCAGGGGAGCAAACCGGAUUAGAUACCCGGGUAGUCCUGGCUGUAAAGGAUGCGGGCUAGGUGUUGCUUGGACCUCGAGUCCAAGCAGUGCCGCAGGGAAGCCGUU